rnacentral:rRNA from 1 species
UUGUGCUAAGGUAGCAUAAUCAUUUGUCUUUUAAUUAAAGACUAGAACAAAAGAUUUAACAAUUCAAUAAAUUUAUUAUAAUUAAUCAUAUUAAUUUAUUUUAAAUGUAAAAAAACAUUUAUAUAAUAGGAAGACGACAAGACCCUUUUAAACUUCACUAUAGUUAAACUGGGGCAGUUAAUCAAAUAUCACUUUAAUAAAAAUAUAAACAUAAGAGAUCCAAUACAAUUGAUUACAUGAUCAAGUUACUAUAGGGAUAACAGCGUUAUAUAUAUCUAAAGAUCUUAUUUAAAUAUAAAACUUGCGACCUCGAUGUUGAAUUAAUAUCCUAAAUUACUGCAACAAGUAAAU